UGGUGACUUCAUGCCACUACAUUGGUUGUGCGAUGCCUACUGUUGGAGCCAGCCAGCAAAUUUGCUGUUUAUAACCCUGAAGUAGUUUCCUGCAGAGUAUAAGAUAGUUAGGUAUCAUACAAUAGAAGGAAAAUUGCAUGUAAUGCAAUAUGAUAUUGAAAGCAAUGAAGCAUUCCUGCCAACCAGCUGUGGCAGCUAUUAUUCUCUUACAUUUUAAUUGCAUACAACUAUAUAAUGAAUCAACAAUGGUCGCCACUCUAUUUUUAGAUGUCAAUAGGUUCAUACUUCUGCACUGAGAAUACACAAGUUUCUAUACAAUCUAUAAUCUAAGCCACUUUUCUCUAAAAAUUAAAAAAAAUGCGGAUUAGCGAAAUGACAAGGCAGCAGAGGAAACAUUUUCAGUGAUGAACCCUCUGGAAAGAAAAAUAGAAGGUCCUCAAUAUAAGAAAUAAUGAAGUAGGAAAAAAAAGAAAAUGGAAGAGAAAGCAGGCUUUAUUUAGGGUGUAUAUCCUUUUGGAGUAAAAAUAAGUGACGUUUCACAGUUACUGAAAGUUUAGAUGUCCUUCGACCCACAAAACUUUACAGAAGGAUAGUAGGCCUGAAAAGUGCUCAAUGACAGUUGACAAGUACCUGUUAUUCACAAUCUUCAGGCAUGGAGCUACUUGAAGGCUCAAAGGAAAGUGCAGAGAAGGAGCUUAGAAAUGGCUUCCACAUGCAAUAUUACAAGUCAGGUAGGCCAUCAACAUAACUGAGAUGUGACACUGUUAAGCAAGUUGUGUGUGUUGCAUCAAUUAACGCCGUCCAACAAAGUCUUUCCAUCUGCUAAAGGAAAACUAUUGACAACUGAACCAUGCUGUCUUGUCUGCCAAUAUCGCUUUUCAUAAUAGCUAAGGAACUAUUCAUCGGUUUCUAAUUAUGCCAAGCAGAUUUGUAUGUUUCCAAAGAGCUCAAUGCAAGAACUAAAGCCCAUGUACCAAAACAUGAUCUCUAAAUAUAUGCAGGUUCAAAACCAAGUGUUACGGAAAACUGACAACUCAAUGCUGAACAUGUAUUUCCAUAAUUAAAGCAUGUGGCCGAGCAUUCUUAGAGAGAGUUUUCAAUUCUUGAAUUAUUAUUAUGUUUGGAAAAACAUAUAUGUCUAAGAAACCCUAGUAUAACUGCAAACAUCACGUUGCAAAUAUAAUACAUGCAUUGAAACCGAACAGUCAACAGAAAACACAUCAGAUACAUGUGAUAAAACCACUUUCAGAUGAAACAAAGGCUGCUUUACAAUCACUUUGGUGUAAUCCUAUACCCAAAAGAAAUAAAAUGUAAGGAGCAGUGCCAUGUGAGAUGCCGGAAAUCAAGCAGGUCUCGUUUCAUCUGAAUGUGCACAAAGAACAGAUUUAUUAGGAGCAUGAACAAUGCAUAUCACCAUGUGAGGGAUCCAUCAGGAGAAGCAAAUAGGUAGCCUAAUGGAUCAGUGCUCACCGAGAUUGUUCGAUCACUGAAUCUGGAAGCCAUCACUGUCUCCUUGCGCACUGCCAAUAACCAUGUUCUCGACACACCUCUUGUUCGCAGCGCGUUCAGUAUGGCAGCCACUGAUGAAAAGAAAGGGAACCAAUGCCUACUAGUUGCAACUAUAGGCUCCAGCACACACCAAACAUUUGGCCCCAUCACAAUCUAAUCCAAAUUAAUCAUACUGCAACACUGCAUGUGCCAAUCCCAUGGCCUUGUUGAUUGCUAACUCUUCUCAAUAACAGCUACACUUCACCGUCUCGAUGUUUCCCCUCUCCUAUAUAUUCAGCAAGCGACCGGCUCAACACCAUCACCUCAUCAGCUCAUCAACCAAGGGAGCAUUUGAGCAUCCAUAGCACACUUCUUCAGAUUUCCAGAUAAAAACACAAGAAAACUGAGAACCAGCCAUGGCCAGAGCCAAGAGACUUGCUCAGUUAGCAAAGAAGUGGCAGAGGAUGGAGGCGCUUGGGAGGAAGAGGCUCACGGUGACAGAUAAAGAAGAUGAAGAAUGCUGCACUUCUGUACC
rnacentral:lncRNA from 1 species